UGGGGAAUAUUGCACAAUGGGCGCAAGCCUGAUGCAGCCAUGCCGCGUGUAUGAAGAAGGCCUUCGGGUUGUAAAGUACUUUCAGCGGGGAGGAAGGGAGUAAAGUUAAUACCUUUGCUCAUUGACGUUACCCGCAGAAGAAGCACCGGCUAACUCCGUGCCAGCAGCCGCGGUAAUACGGAGGGUGCAAGCGUUAAUCGGAAUUACUGGGCGUAAAGCGCACGCAGGCGGUUUGUUAAGUCAGAUGUGAAAUCCCCGGGCUCAACCUGGGAACUGCAUCUGAUACUGGCAAGCUUGAGUCUCGUAGAGGGGGGUAGAAUUCCAGGUGUAGCGGUGAAAUGCGUAGAGAUCUGGAGGAAUACCGGUGGCGAAGGCUGCCCCCUGGACGAAGACUGACGCUCAGGUGCGAAAGCGUGGGGAGCAAACA
rnacentral:rRNA from 1 species